rnacentral:rRNA from 1 species
GACGAACGCUGGCGGCGUGCCUAAUACAUGCAAGUAGAACGCUGAAGGAGGAGCUUGCUUCUCUGGAUGAGUUGCGAACGGGUGAGUAACGCGUAGGUAACCUGCCUGGUAGCGGGGGAUAACUAUUGGAAACGAUAGCUAAUACCGCAUAAGAGUAGAUGUUGCAUGACAUUUGCUUAAAAGGUGCAAUUGCAUCACUACCAGAUGGACCUGCGUUGUAUUAGCUAGUUGGUGGGGUAACGGCUCACCAAGGCGACGAUACAUAGCCGACCUGAGAGGGUGCUCGGCCCCACUGGGACUGAGACACGGCCCAGACUCCUACGGGAGGCAGCAGUAGGGAAUCUUCGGCAAUGGACGGAAGUCUGACCGAGCAACGCCGCGUGAGUGAAGAAGGUUUUCGGAUCGUAAAGCUCUGUUGUAAGAGAAGAACGAGUGUGAGAGUGGAAAGUUCACACUGUGACGGUAUCUUACCAGAAAGGGACGGCUAACUACGUG